rnacentral:rRNA from 1 species
GACGAACGCUAGCUACAGGCUUAACACAUGCAAGUCGAGGGGCAGCGGGAUUGAAGCUUGCUUCAAUUGCCGGCGACCGGCGCACGGGUGAGUAACGCGUAUCCAACCUUCCGUACACUCAGGGAUAGCCUUUCGAAAGAAAGAUUAAUACCUGAUGGUAUCUUAAGCACACAUGUAAUUAAGAUUAAAGAUUUAUCGGUGUACGAUGGGGAUGCGUUCCAUUAGGUAGUAGGCGGGGUAACGGCCCACCUAGCCAACGAUGGAUAGGGGUUCUGAGAGGAAGGUCCCCCACAUUGGAACUGAGACACGGUCCAAACUCCUACGGGAGGCAGCAGUGAGGAAUAUUGGUCAAUGGGCGCAGGCCUGAACCAGCCAAGUAGCGUGAAGGAUGAAGGUCCUACGGAUUGUAAACUUCUUUAUAAGGGAAUAAACCCUUCACGUGUGGGAGCUUGUAUGUACCUUAUGAAUAAGCAUCGGCUAACUCCGUG